rnacentral:rRNA from 1 species
GGCCGCGAAUUCGCCCAUUUCUGCCUUGUAGUGGGGGAUAGCCCGGAGAAAUUCGGAUUAAUACCGCAUACGCCCUAAGGGGGAAAACAGGGGAUCUUCGGACCUUGUGCUAUUAGAUGAGCCUGCGUUAGAUUAGCUAGUUGGUGGGGUAAGAGCUCACCAAGGCGACGAUCUAUAGCUGGUCUGAGAGGAUGAUCAGCCACAUCGGGACUGAGACACGGCCCGGACUCCUACGGGAGGCAGCAGUGGGGAAUAUUGGACAAUGGACGAAAGUCUGAUCCAGCAAUGCCGCGUGUGUGAAGAAGGCCUGAGGGUUGUAAAGCACUUUCAAUUGUGAAGAAGGGAUUAGUAUUAAUAGUGCUGAUCUUUGACGUUAACUUUAGAAGAAGCACCGGCUAACUCCGUGCCAGCAGCCGCGGUAAUACGGAGGGUGCAAGCGUUAAUCGGAAUUACUGGGCGUAAAGCGCGCGUAGGCGGUUAGUUAAGUCAGAUGUGAAAGCCCCGGGCUCAACCUGGGAAUUGCCUCUGAUACUGGCUAACUAGAGUUUGGAAGAGGGGAGUAGAAUUUCAGGUGUAGCGGUGAAAUGCAUAGAGAUCUGAAGGAAUACCAGUGGCGAAGGCGACUCCCUGGUCCAGAACUGACGCUGAGGUGCGAAAGCGUGGGUAGCAAACGGGAUUAGAUACCCCGGUAGUCCACGCUGUAAACGAUGUCAACUAGCCGUUGGGCGCCUUGUGCGCUUAGUGGCGCAGCUAACGCAUUAAGUUGACCGCCUGGGGAGUACGGUCGCAAGACUAAAACUCAAAGGAAUUG